rnacentral:rRNA from 1 species
UACGUAGGGGGCUAGCGUUGUCCGGAAUCAUUGGGCGUAAAGCGCGUGUAGGCGGCCCGGUAAGUCCGCUGUGAAAGUCGGGGGCUCAACCCUCGGAUGCCGGUGGAUACUGUCGGGCUAGAGUACGGAAGAGGCGAGUGGAAUUCCUGGUGUAGCGGUGAAAUGCGCAGAUAUCAGGAGGAACACCUGCGGCGAAGGCGGCUCACUGGGCACCACCUGACGCUGAGGCGCGAAAGCGUGGGGAGCGAACCGG